UGUGGAAAUCUGCUCCCUCUGACUUAGACCACUGGUUUGAGCCUGCUUUUGUCCCACAAGGAAGAUUCGCUGCACAAGUGGAUGCCGUAAAUAUGAAGCUCUUCAAGUGUGCCCUUCUUUCCUCAGCCCACUGUGACAUAGACUGAUGGUUGUUGGCCUCAAGUUCUCGGUCUUCCCUUCCAGGCUUUCUGGAAACACCACACCUGUCCACCCAGAACGUUAACAAGAGGAAUGUUGGCUGCCCCAUGCAGGGUGGAGGAAGGCUGGGGUUCAUGCCAGCUUUCCAGUGCUCCCCACAAACAACAUGAAACUUGGACUGGCUUUGAAAGCCACCUGGCUAGCCGUGCACCUGCAUGCCUACUUCCCAGCUGAGCCGAGGGGUUGAUGGUCCUGCUGGUCUCCAGGUGCCUGCUCUACUUCACCACCUCUGCAUGCAUAACAGGUGAUAUCUCUGCAGUGCUGCCCCCAUCCUGAGUCCCCUGCUCUAAGUGCAACCCAGUGCCCAGCCUUGGGAUCAUGAGUUGUAGAAAACUGGAAAGUUGCUUGGGCAGCUCAACCUCGCCCUGUGGGUAGAGUUCAUGACAAAACAUGGUCAUUGAUGCCCAAGCUUUGCUUCCAGGUGGGGUAGGAUGAACAGAGAUGACAGCUAGUUCUGGUUUCCUUUUCAUGUGUAGGAAAACAGGGACGAACAUUCCUUUGGAACCAUGUGUCAUUUUGUAGCCUCCUUCUGUAGUUACAAGAAAGUUGUGUUUUUUGUAUAUGGCUUUGUUGUUGUAACUGGGAUGGGGAGGGGUGACUUCCUUCCUCACUGAUUCUCUGGGAUGUGGGGAAGGAUAGAAGAGAGACCCCCCUCAGAGGAAAGGGAAGAGAAAUUAGAACAACACUCACAAUACCACGUCCAGGUUCAUAGAAGGGGAUUAAAAAUGUGAGUGAUGCUCAUGAGCUCACCUGUUGGAA